rnacentral:rRNA from 1 species
UACAGAGGUCCCAAGCGUUGUUCGGAUUCACUGGGCGUAAAGGGUGCGCAGGUGGUUUGGCAAGUUUGAUGUGAAAGCCCCGGGCUUAACCCGGGAAUGGCAUUGAAUACUGCUUGAACUGGAGGGUUGGAGGGGGGACUGGAAUUCUUGGUGUAGCAGUGAAAUGCGUAGAUAUCAGGAGGAACACCGGUGGCGAAGGCGGGUCUCUGGGCCGUAACUGACGCUGAGGAGCGAAAGCGUGGGGAGCGAACAGG